UUUCUAAUCCAAUUUGGGAAAUUUCUUAUGUUUUGAAUUUACUGUUGGCUGAUUAACCUUGCCUUUUUACUGCAGUGAAUUGGACUGGUGAUGCUGGGCGUUGUUGCCUGCUAGAAACACUGGUCCAUAAAUUCUGCAUAACGUUCAAAGGAGUGCCAUGCAGGGAUGCACCAUAUAUACCAGAAGGCUGACUGCCACGAAUUUGAUCUGUACCACUCGGCUGGGACAUGUCCUGAGCAGAUGCAAUUUCAAGUUUACUAGCUUGAGCUCUUUCACCGUAUUCAUCUAUCUGAUUCGAGGAAGCCGGCUGAUUAUUUGUUACUUGUCCACCAAGAUGAGCUAUAUUCUGAUUCUGAUUAUGGUUCUUGGAGAAUGGAAAGCCAGGUGUAAAAGCCGGUGGAAUGUUCCCUGGCACAUUGCACUGAGAAGCCUUAUCAAAAACUUGCCCUGUGGUACUAGAAAUAUUAUCCCUAUUCUCCCUAGGAGAUGACUCUUGAGAAGGAAAAGUCUGGUUAGUANNN
rnacentral:lncRNA from 1 species